rnacentral:rRNA from 1 species
UGGCAGACGGGUGAGUAACGCGUGGGAACGUACCUUUUGGUUCGGAACAACACAGGGAAACUUGUGCUAAUACCGGAUAAGCCCUUACGGGGAAAGAUUUAUCGCCGAAAGAUUGGCCCGCGUCUGAUUAGCUAGUUGGUGAGGUAAUGGCUCACCAAGGCGACGAUCAGUAGCUGGUCUGAGAGGAUGAUCAGCCACAUUGGGACUGAGACACGGCCCAA